CCCUCAAGGAACUUAUAGUCGAAUGCACCUACCGAAUGUCAAAUGCCACCAUCCUCAUCAUUGUUCAGAAGCUUAUAACCAGCACCAACUUGUAUUACAUGCAACAAAGAACCAUGACAUUCUAGAAUGUCAGGUACAACAGAGACAGCUGUUUGUCCCCCAGUAUCCUUCAGACAAAGCCAUAUAUGAUUGAAGGUUAUCAGUACUGUGCUUUUGGAGGAUUCAGAAGAAGUUAUAUCUGAUUGGGAGAUUGAAAAGGAUUGGCCUGAAGGAGAGGUGGUUUUUGAACUGCAUCUUAAAGGAUGAGGAAACUGAGGCUGAGAGGGUAGAGAACUUUGCCUGAGGUCACUCAGCAGGGACCCACCCAUCACAGUAAAUGCCAGCACUGCUGAUGCCAAAACAAUGUUAUUUGUAGGCCCUCGGAAUUUGUGACCUGAAGGAAGAAGAGCAGGGCCGUGGGAAGUAUGUAACCAGUGUCAUGCCCCUGGUCCCAAGGAAGCAGUGGCUUGGCCUGAACACCCUGUCCUACCUGGUCCUACCUGGAUGCUGGCCUCAGUAAGCUCCUGGGCUCAUUGAAGAUGAACCUAGCAGUAGUAUUUACACCACUUGUUGUGUGCCCACUGUGGGCCCGGCGCCAUGCCGAGUGCUCUAUGGAUGUGAGUGCUGGGAGAGAAAAGCAUACGACAUAGACAGGGAGGUCAAGCUCCACCACGCAGAUGAGGUGCAGGCCACCAGUCUUCCUCUGCCACAUCUCUUUCUGAAAAGGUAACCCUGCACCGCCUUCCCAUUGGCUGCCACCUUGCAUCCCCU
rnacentral:lncRNA from 1 species